GAUGAACGCUGGCGGCGUGCCUAAUACAUGCAAGUCGAGCGAACGGACGAGAAGCUUGCUUUUCUGAUGUUAGCGGCGGACGGGUGAGUAACACGUGGAUAACCUACCUAUAAGACUGGGAUAACUUCGGGAAACCGGAGCUAAUACCGGAUAAUAUUUUGAACCGCAUGGUUCAAAAGUGAAAGACGGUCUUGCUGUCACUUAUAGAUGGAUCCGCGCUGCAUUAGCUAGUUGGUAAGGUAACGGCUUACCAAGGCAACGAUGCAUAGCCGACCUGAGAGGGUGAUCGGCCACACUGGAACUGAGACACGGUCCAGACUCCUACGGGAGGCGGCAGUAGGGAAUCCUCCGCAAUGGGCGAAAGCCUGACGGAGCAACGCCGCGUGAGUGAUGAAGGUCUUCGGAUCGUAAAACUCUGUUAUUAGGGAAGAACAUAUGUGUAAGUAACUGUGCACAUCUUGACGGUACCUAAUCAGAAAGCCACGGCUAACUACGUG
rnacentral:rRNA from 1 species